rnacentral:rRNA from 1 species
CAGCCCCUCGAGUGGUGGGGAUGAUUAUUUGGCCUAAAGCGUCCGUAGCCGGCCGUGUAAGUCUCCCGUUAAAUCCAGCGUCUCAAGCGUUGGACUGCGGGAGAUACUGCUCGGCUAGAGAGUGGGAGAGGUGUGCGGUAUUCUGGGGGUAGGGGCGAAAUCCUUUGAUCCCCGGAGGACCACCAGUGGCGAAGGCUGCACACUAGAACACGUCUGACGGUCAGGGACGAAAGCUGGGGUAGCGAACCGGAUUAGAGACCCGAGUAGUCC